rnacentral:rRNA from 1 species
UACAGAGGGGGCCAGCGUUAUUCGGAAUUAUUGGGCGUAAAGGGCGCGUAGGCGGCCAUGCGUGUCUUCCGUGAAAUCCCUCGGCUUAACUGAGGACGUGCGGAAGAAACUGCAAGGGCUCGAGUCCGGGGAGAGGGGGGUGGAAUUCCCAGUGUAGCGGUGGAAAUGCGUAGAUAUUGGGAGGAACACCGGUGGCGAAGGCGGCCCCCUGGACCGGUACUG